CCUACGGGAGGCAGCAGUGGGGAAUAUUGGGCAAUGGGCGCAAGCCUGACCCAGCCAAGUCGCGUGAGGGAAGACGGCCCUACGGGUUGUAAACCUCUUUUGUCGGGGAGCAAAGCGAACCACGUGUGGUUCAUUGAGAGUACCCGAAGAAAAAGCAUAGGCUAACUCCGUUCCAGCAGCCGCGGUAAUCCGGAGGAUGCCAGCGUUAUCCGGAUGUAUUGGGUUUAAAGGGUGCGCAGGCGGAGGUGCAAGUACGCGGUAAAAUUGCGGGGCUCAACCACGUACUGCCGUUGAAAGUGCAUCCCUUGAGUGCGCGAGAAGUAUGCGGAAUGCGUGGUGUAGCGGUGAAAUGCAUAGAUAUCACGCAGAACUCCGAUUGCGAAGGCAGCAUACCGGCGCGCAACUGACGCUCAUGCACGAAAGCGUGGGUAUCGAACAGGAUUAGAUACCCGAGUAGUC
rnacentral:rRNA from 1 species